UCCCUCGUGGUCCAGUGGUUGAGACUCUGUGCUCCCAAUGCUGGGGGCCCAGGUUCGAUCCCUGGUCAGGGAA
rfam:Ovis aries breed Texel chromosome 8, whole genome shotgun sequence.